rnacentral:rRNA from 1 species
UACAGAGGUCUCAAGCGUUGUUCGGAUUCAUUGGGCGUAAAGGGUGCGUAGGCGGCGCGGUAAGUCGGGUGUGAAAUCUCGGAGCUUAACUCCGAAACUGCAUUCGAUACUGCCGUGCUUGAGGACUGGAGAGGAGACUGGAAUUUACGGUGUAGCGGUGAAAUGCGUAAAUAUCGUAAGGAAGACCAGUGGCGAAGGCGGGUCUCUGGACAGUUCCUGACGCUGAGGCACGAAGGUCAGGGGGGCAAACGGG